rnacentral:rRNA from 1 species
GACGAACGCUGGUGGCGUGCUUAACACAUGCAAGUCGAACGGGAUUUAGUAAACAGAAGCCUCGGUGGAAGAUUACUAAUGAGAGUGGCGAACGGGUGAGUAACGCGUGAGCAACCUGCCUAUGACAGUGGGAUAGCCUCGGGAAACCGGGAUAAUACCGCAUAAAAUCGUAGAAACACAUGUUUUAACGGUCAAAGAUUUAUCGGUCAUAGAUGGGCUCGCGUCUGAUUAGCUAGUUGGUGAGAUAACAGCCCACCAAGGCGACGAUCAGUAGCCGGUCUGAGAGGAUGAACGGCCACAUUGGAACUGAGACACGGUCCAAACUCCUACGGGAGGCAGCAGUGGGGAAUAUUGCACAAUGGGGGAAACCCUGAUGCAGCGACGCCGCGUGAACGAAGAAGGUAUUCGUAUCGUAAAGUUCUGUCCUAUGGGAAGAUAAUGACAGUACCAGAGAAGAAAGCUCCGGCUAAAUACGUG